UUAAUUUUACAUUUUACUUAAUUAUCAAUCGUUAAAGUAACGUAAAGGGUUUAAUUUCGUGAUUCAAAAAAAAACCGGAAGUGACGAUUUCCAACGCAUUUGAUGACGGUGUGGAGGGGAGCAAGAGGUAUCAGUCAGGUUUGUGCAGAAUUUGAGACAUCCAGAAUUACCAUAGGCCCAUUAGAAUCAACAAUCUUUGCCAAACUUGAUUCGGACUGCAAAAUUUACGAAGAUGUUUUCAUACUGAAGAAGAGACCUUGGACAAAUACUGAAACCCUCUUGGUGCCCACUACACAGGCAGGGGUGUCCAGACCUGCUCUAGGAAAGCCAGUGUUCUGUGGGGUUCAGCUCUAACACACCUGCCUGGAACUUCAGACUAAUGAAAUUGAAGUAUCCAAAUGAAGACCCUAGCAGUAUGGAGUAUAUGGAUACAGACGUUGCCAGCAGUCAGGAGGUGAUCCAGAAGACUCAUGGGAAUCUAUUUGAAGCUGCAUCAUUGAAGACAGUCCAGCAGAAGUUGGAGUUUUAAAGGAUAAAGUUCUUCAGGACCUAUAGCAGUUUACAGUCUGUAAAACCAUGUUACUGGGACUGAUUUAUGGACUGAACUUGAGCAACCCUCCUGAACUCAGGUACACAUUUGGAAUACUGAAGAAGUUAUUUCUGGAGCCACUUCCUGUUCCUGGAAUAAGGUUUGAUUGGUUGCCCAUGAAUGCCAAUUAGAAUUGUAUUUGCUAUUUUGUGUAAUUUUGUAAUGUGGUUUAAACUGUAUUUUACUGUGUGUAAUUAUUUAUUGCUUGUUUAACAAAUACACUUUGAUCAUUUGUGA